UGGGGGAUAUUGCACAAUGGGCGAAAGCCUGAUGCAGCGACGCCGCGUGGGGGAUGAAGGCCUUCGGGUUGUAAACUUCUUUUGCUCUGAACAAGGCGCACCAUGGGGUGUGUUGAGUGUAGGGGUUGAUUAGCGCCGGCUAACUACGUGCCAGCAGCCGCGGUAAUACGUAGGGCGCGAGCGUUGUCCGGAAUUAUUGGGCGUAAAGGGCUUGUAGGUGGCUGGUGGCGUCUGUCGUGAAAGCUCAUGGCUUAACUGUGGGUUGGCGGUGGGUACGGGCUGGCUUGAGUGCAGUAGGGGAGGCUGGAAUUCCUGGUGUAGCGGUGGAAUGCGCAGAUAUCAGGAGGAAUACCGGUGGCGAAGGCGGGUCUCUGGGCUGUUACUGACACUGAGGAGCGAAAGCAUGGGGAGCGAACAGG
rnacentral:rRNA from 1 species